UAAUUACUAUGGCCCAAAAGGGAUUUAAAUUUCUCAAACAAAGGCCCACAUCUCAAUUUAAAUGGGUAUGGCCCAAUUUUAUACUCCCACCGUCGAGACUUCUCUGUCUCUCUUCCUUAAUUUGUGAAAAAUUCCUAAUCUCUUUCUUCUUGUCUCUUUUCUUCCACCUCUUUGAAUCCACGACACCGCUGCCCUCGUCGCGUCUCCUGGGGUGUUCGUCGUCGCCGUCGUGGUCUCUUCCCUACCCCUUUGAAUUUCCUAUAUCCCCCGUCUCCUUCUCGACAAUUAGGGAUCUAAAUUUUGGAAACCCUAGGUAGGUGGAGAACUCGUCGCCGUCGUUGGAGUUCUGUGAACUCGCCGUCGAUGCCUUUUUCUCGUCGUCUCGUGCUGGGUACGGCCUACCAGCGUGGAGCCGGUGUCGCCUCCGUCCCUAGCCGACGCCGCGACUGGUGUAUCCGUCGCGUUGGGACAGCCCGCACUCCGGCCGACAUUUUCGUUUCUUCCUCCGGAGGGAGCUUCGCUCGCCGUCGUCUGUUGCAGAGGGAACUUCGCUCGCCGUCGAACCGUGAGGUCCCUGCUCCGGGCGCCGUCAAGCAAAGCUCGGUGUUCCGCUGACGAAGCUAAGUCUUUUCUUCUUAACUUUAUUUAAUGUUUCUAUUUAGAGUCGUAGGUGGUGGUUCUCUGAUUAGAGAUUGUCGGUUGGAAGCUCGAUGGGGUGCUUACUUUUAUAUCCAUCGAAGCAUGUAGUGUGAGGAGGCUAAACUGUGGUAUCAUCUCGUUGGCUAUUUCCUAUCAUGCUUAAGUUUCGGAACUAUGGGGUUUUUCUAGCUUGCUUGGUGUCUACAUGAUGCUAUAACUUGGUUAACUGAGUUUGAAGGGGAUUGAGGUUACCUUCACUGAACUUGUGCUGCUAUUUCUCACUUCUGGCCUUGUUUUCCCUCACUCCUCCACUUGCUGCUCCACUAAGCGAGUAAUUUGUGGUGGGAUGGAGGGUGGAACCGAGGGGAAUUGGCAUAUUUAUGCCCAGCUUGUAACUGAAAGCUGCACAAUGGCUGAUGUACUUUGCUGAAAAAGAGGUUUACAGGCUGGGCAGCUGGCUGCUCUCUUGCAGCUCUGCAGAGCACUUACCCUGUUCCCUUGGCCUCUUUUGUAACUGAUUCUGGUGUUUCAUGGUAGUGGCUGUUCCCUCUACAGACUCGCAGGGAUGUACUCGUGAUAUGGAUGAGCCUAUGACUCCUGGCUGUGCUCUGAUAUCAUAACUGAAUUUAGUGCUUUAGUGCCUGCAUUCCCUUGCUGUACAUCUUAACUGUAUUUGUCUCCAUAUGAGGUGUAGUACUAGGUUUAUUUAUUGCUUCUGUUGGUUUAUGGCAGGUGCACACAGGGGAUGGCAUUUAGUGGCUGUUUUCCUCGACCAUAGUAGGUCUAGACAGCAUGGUACGGCUGUCAUCUGCAGCCUUGCAGUGUUGCAGCUGGAAGGAAGGAAUUCGUUUGCUGAUCUUGCCUUUCUUGGCCCAUCUCUUCCUCACUUAAAUAAAAGGAACCGAGGUUGGCCACCGAGCUGCCCUCUCUUGUGGUCUCGCCCUCUCGUGUUCAUCUGAAUUUCUGGGCCGAGACGACCUAUUGAAGAAGGCUGACAAAGUCGCUAGGGUCGCGAGUUGUAUAGUAUAGUUUACACUUUCUUUACCGUAUGAACGGAAAGCUUGACGAUGGUUGAUGUAUAUUCCUUUCUAGUAUUUGUAAUUCAUCAGCUUUGAAUUUCUGAAAUUUGUACUUAUACUCUUAAUAAAAAAAAAACUCAUUCAUUCCUUAAUAAAAUUCUAGUAUUUUAUUUCA